CUUUGCGUAGCUUAGGGGUUAGAGCAUUCGACUCUCGUUUGAAAGUGAACGGGUUCAAAUCCCAGUAGGGU